GUGGAUAGUGAAUAGUGUCCAAAGACAGCGAGCGCCCUAAAAGGCUUGAUAUCUCGCCGAGGAAAAAAACGUAGUAACUAGUGGUUAGUAGCUAGUGGCUAGUAGAUACUCGGCGGAAAGCCGGGUUUUUUUAAUGACUAC
rfam:Candidate division WWE3 bacterium RIFCSPHIGHO2_01_FTLL_48_15 rifcsphigho2_01_scaffold_17687, whole genome shotgun sequence.